AUUCACCCCCACCUUGUCUGCCCUACUCUGUGCCACAGGAGGCUGACCUGAAUGACAACAUAAACCAGGCUCCUUUGCUCUCUGUCCUCAGUUGUAUUUGAGCCACAGAAUCUUAGUGCUUCAGAAUUCUGUGGAUACUCUUCACUCCAAAACCUGAGCCUAACCUGAUAUAACCUAGAUUUUGGACAAUGCAGCAAGAAUAAAUGAGUCCUCUUGAGGCCUGUCAGCUAUAUGACCUUGGGAGAGUGUGUGGAUUAUUUCUGGCUGAGAGUGGAAGGAGAAAUCGCAUGGGAAAGGAAAUCCUCACACGAAUGUCAGCUGAAUUUUGGAUGACUCUCAGCAUCAAAAAAGGCCAAUGCAGUGAAAACAGCAGAUGGUGUAGCAGAGAAAGAGUCCAUUAA
rnacentral:lncRNA from 13 species